rnacentral:rRNA from 1 species
GGCGGACGGGUGAGUAACACGUGGGUAACCUGCCUGUAAGACUGGGAUAACUCCGGGAAACCGGGGCUAAUACCGGAUGGUUGUUUGAACCGCAUGGUUCAGACAUAAAAGGUGGCUUCGGCUACCACUUACAGAUGGACCCGCGGCGCAUUAGCUAGUUGGUGAGGUAACGGCUCACCAAGGCGACGAUGCGUAGCCGACCUGAGAGGGUGAUCGGCCACACUGGGACUGAGACACGGCCCAGACUCCUACGGGAGGCAGCAGUAGGGAAUCUUCCGCAAUGGACGAAAGUCUGACGGAGCAACGCCGCGUGAGUGAUGAAGGUUUUCGGAUCGUAAAGCUCUGUUGUUAGGGAAGAACAAGUGCCGUUCAAAUAGGGCGGCACCUUGACGGUACCUAACCAGAAAGCCACGGCUAACUACGUGCCAGCAGCCGCGGUAAUACGUAGGUGGCAAGCGUUGUCCGGAAUUAUUGGGCGUAAAGGGCUCGCAGGCGGUUUCUUAAGUCUGAUGUGAAAGCCCCCGGCUCAACCGGGGAGGGUCAUUGGAAACUGGGGAACUUGAGUGCAGAAGAGGAGAGUGGAAUUCCACGUGUAGCGGUGAAAUGCGUAGAGAUGUGGAGGAACACCAGUGGCGAAGGCGACUCUCUGGUCUGUAACUGACGCUGAGGAGCGAAAGCGUGGGGAGCGAACAGGAUUAGAUACCCUGGUAGUCCACGCCGUAAACGAUGAGUGCUAAGUGUUAGGGGGUUUCCGCCCCUUAGUGCUGCAGCUAACGCAUUAAGCACUCCGCCUGGGGAGUACGGUCGCAAGACUGAAACUCAAAGGAAUUGACGGGGGCCCGCACAAGCGGUGGAGCAUGUGGUUUAAUUCGAAGCAACGCGAAGAACCUUACCAGGUCUUGACAUCCUCUGACAAUCCUAGAGAUAGGACGUCCCCUUCGGGGGCAGAGUGACAGGUGGUGCAUGGUUGUCGUCAGCUCGUGUCGUGAGAUGUUGGGUUAAGUCCCGCAACGAGCGCAACCCUUGAUCUUAGUUGCCAGCAUUCAGUUGGGCACUCUAAGGUGACUGCCGGUGACAAACCGGAGGAAGGUGGGGAUGACGUCAAAUCAUCAUGCCCCUUAUGACCUGGGCUACACACGUGC